GAUGAACGCUGGCGGCGUGCCUAAUACAUGCAAGUCGAGCGAAUGGAUUAAGAGCUUGCUCUUAUGAAGUUAGCGGCGGACGGGUGAGUAACACGUAGGUAACCUGCCCAUAAGACUGGGAUAACUCCGGGAAACCGGGGCUAAUACCGGAUAACAUUUUGAACCGCAUGGUUCGUAAUUGAAAGGCGGCUUCGGCUGUCACUUAUGGAUGGACCCGCGUCGCAUUAGCUAGUUGGUGAGGUAACGGCUCACCAAGGCAACGAUGCGUAGCCGACCUGAGAGGGUGAUCGGCCACACUGGGACUGAGAAACGGACCAGACUCCUACGGGAGGCAGCAGUAGGGAAUCUUCCGCAAUGGACGAAAGUCUGACGGAGCAACGCCGCGUGAGUGAUGAAGGCUUUCGGGUCGUAAAACUCUGUUGUUAGGGAAGAACAAGUGCUAGCUGAAUAAGCUGGCACCUUGACGGUACCUAACCAGAAAGCCACGGCUAACUACGUGCCAGCCGCCGCGGUAA
rnacentral:rRNA from 1 species